GACGUAGGGCGCGAGCGUUGUCCGGAUUUAUUGGGCGUAAAGAGCUCGUAGGCGGCUCGUUGCGUCAACCGUGAAAACCCGGGGCUUAACUUCGGGCUUGCGGUUGAUACGGGCGGGCUGGAGUUCGGUAGGGGAGACUGGAAUUCCUGGUGUAGCGGUGAAAUGCGCAGAUAUCAGGAGGAACACCGGUGGCGAAGGCGGGUCUCUGGGCCGAAACUGACGCUGAGGAGCGAAAGCGUGGGGAGCGAACAGG
rnacentral:rRNA from 1 species